GGCAACAGCUCAAAUUUGAAAUCUGGCCCCUAGGGUCCGAGUUGUAAUUUGUAGAGGAUGCUUUUGGUGAGGUGCCGCCCGAGUUCCCUGGAACGGGACGCCACAGAGGGUGAGAGCCCCGUCUGGCUGGCCACCGAGCCUCUGUAAAGCUCCUUCGACGAGUCGAGUAGUUUGGGAAUGCUGCUCAAAAUGGGAGGUAUAUGUCUUCUAAAGCUAAAUAUUGGCCAGAGACCGAUAGCGCACAAGUAGAGUGAUCGAAAGAUGAAAAGCACCUUGAAAAGAGGGUUAAAUAGUACGUGAAAUUGUUGAAAGGGAAGCGCUUGUGACCAGACUUGGGCGCGGCGGAUCAUCCGGGGUUCUCUCCGGUGCACUUCGCCGCGUCUAGGCCAGCAUCAGUUCGUCGCGGGGGAAAAAGGCUUCGGGAACGUGGCUCCUCCGGGAGUGUUAUAGCCCGUUGCAUAAUACCCUGCUUUGGACUGAGGACCGCGCAUCUGCAAGGAUGCUGGCGUAAUGGUCACCAGCGAC
rnacentral:rRNA from 1 species